UACGUAGGUGGCGAGCGUUGUCCGGAAUUACUGGGUGUAAAGCGCGCGUAGGCGGGGGGCCAAGUCCGCUGUGAAAUCGCCCGGCUCAACUGGGCGCGGUCGGUGGAAACUGGUCACCUGGAGGACGGUAGAGGCGAGUGGAAUUCCCGGUGUAGUGGUGAAAUGCGUAGAGAUCGGGAGGAACACCAGUGGCGAAGGCGGCUCGCUGGGCCGGCCCUGACGCUGAGGCGCGAAGGCGUGGGGAGCGAACGGG
rnacentral:rRNA from 1 species